UUAGGGAGUUACGGUAGGCAAAUCCGCUGUAACAAUUCUGAGGCGUGAUGGGGAAGGCCAUAUAGGCCGAAGUACAUGAUUCCAUGCUUCCAAGAAAAGCAUCUAGAGAGAGAAGUAGUGCCCGUACCGCAAACCGACACAGGUAGAUGAGGAGAGAAUCCUAAGGCCGGCGGAAGAAUUGCAGUUAAGGAACUAGGCAAAUUGACCCCGUAAGUUCGCGAGAAGGGGUGCCUGCGAGAGCAGGCCGCAGAGAAUAGGCCCAAGCAACUGUUUAGCAAAAACACAGGUCUCUGCUAAAGCGUAAGCUGAUGUAUAGGGGCUGACGCCUGCCCGGUGCUGGAAGGUUAAGGGGAACACUUAGCGCAAGCGAAGGUGUGAACUUAAGCCCCAGUAAACGGCGGCCGUAACUAUAACGGUCCUAAGGUAGCGAAAUUCCUUGUCAGGUAAGUUCUGACCCGCACGAAUGGCGUAAUGACUUGGGCACUGUCUCAACUGCAAAUCCGGCGAAGUUGUAGUGCGAGUGAAGAUGCUCGCUACCCGCGAUUGGACGGAAAGACCCCGUAGAGCUUUACUGUAGCUUAGCAUUGAAUUCCGGUAUUGUCUGUACAGGAUAGGUGGGAGACUGGGAAACUAGGGCGUCAGCCUUAGUGGAGUCAACCUUGGGAUACCACCCUGACAGUACUGGGGUUCUAACAGGACGCCAUGAAUCUGGUGACUGGACAUUGUUAGGUGGGCAGUUUGACUGGGGCGGUCGCCUCCUAAAAAGUAACGGAGGCGCCCAAAGGUUCCCUCAGAACGGUCGGAAAUCGUUCGUAGAGUGCAAAGGCAGAAGGGAGCCUGACUGCGAGACAUACAAGUCGAGCAGGGACGAAAGUCGGGCUUAGUGAUCCGGUGGUACCUCGUGGGAGGGCCAUCGCUCAACGGAUAAAAGCUACCUCGGGGAUAACAGGCUGAUCUCCCCCAAGAGUCCACAUCGACGGGGAGGUUUGGCACCUUGAUGUCGGCUCGUCGCAUCCUGGGGCUGUAGUAGGUCCCAAGGGUUGGGCUGUUCGCCCAUUAAAGCGGCACGCGAGCUGGGUUCAGAACGUCGUGAGACAGUUCGGUCCCUAUCCGUCGCGGGCGUAGGAAAUUUGAGAGGAGCUGUCCUUAGUACGAGAGGACCGGGAUGGACUGACCUCUGGUGCACCAGUUGUUCCGCCAGGAGCAUGGCUGGGUAGCUAAGUCGGGAAGGGAUAAACGCUGAAAGCAUCUAAGCGUGAAGCCUCCCUCAAGAUGAGAUUUCCCAUAGCAUAAGCUAGUAAGACCCCUUGAAGAACACAAGGUUGAUAGGUCAGAGGUGUAAGUGCGGUAACGUAUUUAGCUGACUGAUACUAAUAGGUCGAGGGCUUGACCU
rnacentral:rRNA from 1 species